AGGGGAAUUGCUGGGUCAUAUGGUUAGUGUUUGUUUAACUUUGUAAGAAACUGCCAAGCUGUUUUCCAGAGUGGCUGUACCAUUUUGCAAUACCACAAGCAGU
rnacentral:pre_miRNA from 1 species